AGUGAACGCUGGCGGCAGGCCUAACACAUGCAAGUCGAGCGGCAGCGGGUCCUUCGGGAUGCCGGCGAGCGGCGGACGGGUGAGGAAUGCGUCGGAAUCUGCCUUUUUGUGGGGGAUAACGUAGGGAAACUUACGCUAAUACCGCAUACGACCUACGGGUGAAAGUGGGGGACCGCAAGGCCUCACGCAGAAAGAUGAGCCGACGUCGGAUUAGCUAGUUGGCGGGGUAAAGGCCCACCAAGGCGACGAUCCGUAGCUGGUCUGAGAGGAUGAUCAGCCACACUGGAACUGAGACACGGUCCAGACUCCUACGGGAGGCAGCAGUGGGGAAUAUUGGACAAUGGGCGCAAGCCUGAUCCAGCCAUGCCGCGUGUGUGAAGAAGGCCUUCGGGUUGUAAAGCACUUUUGUCCGGAAAGAAAUCCUGUCGGCUAAUACCCGGCGGGGAUGACGGUACCGGAAGAAUAAGCACCGGCUAACUUCGAG
rnacentral:rRNA from 1 species